UCCCUCUCUCUUUCCCAUCUCUCUCUCUCUCUCUGUCUCUCUCUGCCUCUCGCUCUCUAGCUGUAAGUUCAUUCGCUGUGGCGAGCAACAACUGUGCAAAGAGGAGGUUUGAUCCUGUUGUUGAGCAUCAUCCCUCCCUGAGAUGCUGCUGCUGCUGAUGCUGCUGCUACUGCAGCCUCAUCCACCUGCACAACUCCAUGGCUGGCUGGCUGGCUGGCUGGCUGACUGACUGGCUGACACGUUAGGCGCUACUGCUACACGCUGGGACUGCGAGGGGGCUGCCUGCGCAUGGGGAACACCUGCCUGUGAACAAACGCUGCUGGUCGAUGCGCAGGCUGCUAACCCCAUUGCAAUCCCCCGCUCUCCACUGUGGACAACACAAAAACAAGGUGAUAUACCUUACAAUCACGGCAUGUCUUCUCUGAGGCAGGGGAUCAGACACCAGCCUGGCUAGUAGCUCUGUGGAAGGCUGUGCCUGGACCAACACUCACAGGGAGGUUUCAUUAUGUGUGGAUAUGCUGGUGUGGGGUGAGAGCAAAAGAGAGAGAGAGCAGGACAGGGCUAAAAUGGGCAUCUCUUCCUCCUUAUGGAUCGCUCCUGGAGGACAGGACCACCAGCACUUCCAAGGAGGGCAGGGCUUCAGACCACCUCUGGCCCAGAAAAACCUUUGAAUGGGCCUUGUGUUGUGCUUCAAGGCGUCUUCAAUCAAUGAUGUUGAUACAGCGUCUUUCUCUGUGUUGCUUGCCAUUGGGAUCGACUGAGGAAUUUGAUGAUGCGGUCACGCUUGCUUGCGAUUCCCAUUAUUGCCUCUCUGUGUUUAAGAUUCUCUUCGGUGACGGGUAUUCUUGGGUGUAUAAUACGGAUCACGUUGUUAUUGCUUAAGAAUACGCGUAGUCGAGGAGAGUCCUCUUCUUCUUCUUCGUCUGUCUUCGUCUGCAGCUGAGGACUAUUGAUCAGAUCGAAGCAGCUCAAAGUGCACCCUUACCUGUUUCCUUUUAAUACUGAGGAGUUGGCACACCGAAACACAAACCGUAGAGACUGACUGACAUCCAGGCCCAUUUAUCAAGCAAGGAGACAGAGCACUGCCGGCUGCCUAUCUGUUUCAGUGAUGAUUGUGCUGUCCAGUCUUGAGAUAGUGUCGACCAACCACUCUCGUCUGCAGUUUUUUUUUAUAUUUAACCGCCCCCCUCCCCACCCUUUUUCAUAAUUGUUUAUACUGUGUUGUUGUCGUUUUGUCACAAAUGUUUCAGAUGUCACAUGUUUAUUUGACCAUUAUCAUGUCCAGUAUAUGAAAGUGUAUUUGCAUAUAUUCAUGCUGCAUUAUGUAUUUGUGUUGUGUGGUAGAUAUGCUACAGUGAGUGUGUAUUUCAUAGGCUUCUGAUACAACCGGAUAGUGUUGUUGUGCAGUUAUAGCAGAGGUUAGACUGCAUGGCCCUGGUCCUCUCUCAUGCAAAUCUCUCGAGUCUAUUUAUUAUCAGUCGUCCAGACCAAGCACUCUUUUCCUCCUUCUCCUUUUUUUAUGCAAAUUGAUUUUGAAAUGACAUUUAUCGCGUUGGGUUUUCCACACGAAAGAGCUGCCACACCGGAGCCCAGACAACAAAAUGUCCACCGCUCUAGCGAGAGCUCAAUUUAUGCAUUGGAGGAGAGUGGGUCUCGAUAACAAUUACCACAGGCUCAAAUAGACCAUAACUGGGUUUUCCAUGUUAUCAUAUGUAUGUUAUAUGCCAUGAAUAUGUAUCAGUCAGUCCCCCUGGUCGGAUGCAGGGUGCAUUCUGAACCCUAACACCCAUGUAAAAUCCAUUUAAACACCAUUAUAGAAACUACUUAACUUAUAGAGCCUCACUCAAGAUUCCCCUCCAGAAUUUUUUUUUCAUGUCUAUUAAAUGUCAUAAAAAAAUAAAUGUAUGGUAUUUAAUAUUCAAAAGGUUUUAGUUUUUUUUUUUUUACAAGCAUUCUUUGUCUUUUAAGAAUAAUGAAAAAAUCAACAGCUAAACAACUGGUCUAUCAUACAAAUUAAUUAAACUAGCUGUACUAAUACCAUUUCAAAUAUUUAAAUGAAUACAAUUAUAUGUUAACUGCUUGGCUCGCUUGAUAAGAAAGAAACACCAGAAGCUUGGUUGACCCCAUAUUUCACCACUAUGGAAACUACAUAUCUGAUAAAGAUCAUAUCAGAAUGUACUUUGGAUAUCACCUUCUGUAUUGGAUCUAAAUUAUUUCCGA